rnacentral:lncRNA from 1 species
CACUGCUCUGCUGUGCCUCACUUCAAUUACCUGUUGGUGUGUUUGGAGAGAACAACAUACGAGAAUCUUUGAUUUCGAAGCAAAGAUAGCUAUAAAGAUUGCUGAAUAGGUAGCCUUUCUCUGCACUAGCUGGACAUCAAAAUUUUCAAAUGAAAAACUACAGCUAAUAUCGGCCAAGUUAGCUCACCUGGAAAUGCUGGUAGUUAAAAUCCUUCGAGGGAA